UUAGCUGUAAGUAAGCUUACCCGGGGAUCUCCGAAUGGGGCAACCCGAUCUUAAUGAUCAUCAUUCUUUUGAAUUCAUAGAUUGAAUGAGGCGACACGCUGUGAACUGAAACAUCUCAGUAGCAGCAGGAAAGUAAAGAAAUUUCGAUUCCGUCAGUAGCGGCGAGCGAACGCGGAAGAGCCCAAACCUGGAUGCUUGCAUCCAGGGGUUGUAGGACUGAUGUUGAGUUACAAAGGCAGCAGAUAGCUGAAUCAGUUGGGAAGCUGAUCCAUAGAGGGUGAUAGACCCGUAAGCGAAAUCUCCUGCUCUCUAAUCAGGAUCCUGAGUACGGCCCAGCACGUGAAAUUGGGUCGGAAUCUGGGAGGACCAUCUCCCAAGGCUAAAUACUAGCUAGUGACCGAUAGUGAACCAGUACCGUGAGGGAAAGGUGAAAAGAACCCCGGAAGGGGAGUGAAAUAGUUCUUGAAACCGUGUGCUUACAAGAAGUUCGAGGCCGUUAAUGGCUGAGAGCGUGCUUUUUGUAGAAUGAACCGGAGAGUUACGAUUACGUGCAAGGUUAAGGUGCAAAGACUGGAGCCGUAGCGAAAGCGAGUCUGAAUAGGGCGCUUCAGUACGUGGUUGUAGACCCGAAACCGAGUGACCUAUCCAUGGUCAGGUUGAAGGUGGGGUAAUACCUACUGGAGGACCGAACAAGUGGGUGUUAAAAAACCCUUUGAUGAACUGUGGAUAGCGGUGAAAUUCCAAUCGAACUCGGAGAUAGCUGGUUCUAUCCGAAAUACAUUUAGGUGUAGCCUUGCAUUUAGCUUACUGGAGGUAGAGCACUUUUUGAUCUAGGGGCCCUUUCUGGGUUACCAAAAUCAGAUAAACUCCGAAUGCCAGCUAAGUAUAUGCAGGAGUCAGACGGUGAGUGAUAAGAUCCAUCGUCAAAAGGGGAACAGCCCAGAUCACCAGUUAAGGUCCCUAAAUAUAUGCUAAGUGGAAAACGUUGUGAAGGUGCGUAGACAACUAGGAGGUUGGCUCAGAAGCAGCCAUCCUUUAAAGAGUGCGUAAUAGCUCACUAGUCGAGUGCUCUUGCGCGGAUAAUGUACCGGGGCUAAGCAUAUUACCGAAACUGUGGAUGCGUAAGCAUGGUAGGAUAGCGUAGUUAAUGCAAUGAAGGAUGACCGUAAGGACAUGUUGGAGCGUUAACUAGUGAGAAUUCCGGUAUGAGUAGCGAAAGAUAGGUGAGAAUCCUAUCCACCGAAU
rnacentral:ncRNA from 2 species